AUACGCUGCGCAGUGAAAUCUAGGUUUUUGGGCGGGCCCCCACCGCGGAGAUGUGGUUUUUUCUUGCGCGCGAAAAACAUUACCACGGGUUGAUAUCAUUUCAAAACUUUUUGAAAGAAGACUCUUCUUCUGCAUGAAAUGACAGGAGGGGGAUGGCUGUCUUCCGCUCGCGUUGUGAAAUGUCAAGUUAAGUCUUGCCCCCCAACACCCCAUGUUUCUACCCUUUUUGCCCAGCGCUUAAAACAGAAAGCCGCUCUACACCGCAGGAAGGUGUGGAUGAUGUCAAGUCAGCAUGCCCCUUAUAUCUUGGGCUUCACACGUACUACAAUGGUAGGGACAAUGAGUCGCAAACCUGCGAAGGCUACCCAAUCUCAAAAACCCUAUCUCAGUUCGGAUUGUACUCUGCACUCGAGUGCAUGAAGGUGGAAUCGCUAGUAAUCGCUGGUCAGCAUACAGCGGUGAAUACGUUCCCGGGUCUUGUACACACUGCCCGUCACACCAUGGAAGUCGAUCCUUCCCUAAGUCGUUACUCGAACCUUUUAGGACGAGGAUGCCGAAGGCAGGGUUGGUGACUAUGGUGAAGAUGUAACAAGGUAACC
rnacentral:rRNA from 1 species